UCCUGCCAAACCUAAUUCUUUCUCCCCUCUAUGCGCCGUUCUUCUUCCUUCUUUCCCUUAUCUUCUUCUUUGGUGGCCGAGACCUUCUUCUUCACCAUUUAACGUCGUCGGCUGGCCUCCAUGCCUUGGUGGCCACCUUCACCCCGACAACCGCCUAGCCCGACCUAAAACAACCACCCCGAUCGGACUAAAAUAUCUUUCCAUCUUUAACUCUUUUCUACUCGACCAAGGCCCCGAAGACCAAACCCAUGGUCUUCCUUUUUCUUUAUCUCUGUGAUAACUCAAACUAGCAUCAAUGGUCAUCAAGACUACUGAACAUGGCCGGUGAAACCCCCCAAACAGCCUAGAAUAACCUGGACUUCACUAUUUCCAUUCCUAAGCUUGCUCAUCCCUUCGACCGAACCUAAAACCAAGCUUCCAAACUCGCCUAACUCUUCACCUUUACACUUUCCAACGACCUUAUAAGACCUCGAUUCCGACAACCCCGAUGACCAUCUCUCAAGGCUAAGCAGCUAAACCGGCAUGCAAACUGUCGUUCAUCGGUGACAGUAACCUCACCAAAGCGUGCUUCAAUGGUGGCAUGAUUGGCGGCAUCUUAUUCACGCAGAUGGGAACAGCUCUUGGGUUUAAACCAAGUUACUUAUAAUUAUUUUAGGUUGUUGGAUUUUUGUUAGGCUUCAUUUAUUGGGUCUGAAUCUUGAGCUUGCAAUUAAUUUGGUUUGUAAUUGGGCUUCAAAGAUGUAAAUGGACUUUAGACACUUAAAUUUGUA